rnacentral:rRNA from 1 species
UACGGAGGGGGCUAGCGUUGUUCGGAAUUACUGGGCGUAAAGCGCGCGCAGGUGGUUCUUUAAGUCUGAUGUGAAAGCCCACGGCUCAACCGUGGAAGGUCAUUGGAAACUGGGGAACUUGAGUGCAGAAGAGGAAAGUGGAAUUCCAAGUGUAGCGGUGAAAUGCGUAGAUAUUUGGAGGAACACCAGUGGCGAAGGCGACUUUCUGGUCUGUAACUGACACUGAGGCGCGAAAGCGUGGGGAGCAAACAGG